GACAGAGGGUGCAAACGUUGUUCGGAAUUACUGGGCGUAAAGCGCGUGUAGGCUGCUCGGAAAGUCGGAUGUGAAAGCCCUGGGCUCAACCUAGGAAGUGCAUUCGAAACUUCCGAGCUGGAGUGCUGGAGAGGAAGGCGGAAUUCUCGGUGUAGAGGUGAAAUUCGUAGAUAUCGAGAGGAACACCGGUGGCGAAGGCGGCCUUCUGGACAGCUACUGACGCUGAGACGCGAAAGCGUGGGGAGCAAACGGG
rnacentral:rRNA from 1 species